UUAUGUGUGAUUAUAUGUAACCGUUCUAUUGAAACUCGUUUUUUAGUAUUUUUUUGUUAUAUUAUUGGUGUUAUAUAUUAUAUUUAUACCAUUUGAUUUCAUGUCGCUAUAGAAAAACUAGAGCGAAGGCGUGUGCAACUAUCUAUCGGACCAGCCUAAAUUAUGUAUCGCGUUCGCUUUUCAUCAAUCCAUAACUAUCUAAGAAAAACGACCAUUGCAGAAACCUGUAAACACAAAUAACUAGAAACUGUAUUCUAAUAAUAGAAAAAAAGGGACCUAACAAACGCUAGCUGUUGGAGUGCACUAGAACGAGUUAAGAAGCCAGAGGUUCAUUAAAUCAUCUUUCCUGUAGUAUUUUGCUAUUAUAAGUUGUUCAGUUUGCUCUAAAUAUUUGCACGUAUUCGUUUCCAUAUAACAGGAAACUGUAAAAAGAGGCGAAGUUCUCAAAAUUUCAAUUUUCCGGAAUGGAAACAAAAGCUCUUUUCGAAAUGUGUGAAAACUAUUAGCUGAUUGGCAGCCUGUACUUGUAAGUAUUUUACAUCAUAAACGACCAUUAGGACGUCGCUUUCGCUAGCUCACUGGAUGGGCGGCCGCAGGUAGCCGGAAAAUAGCAAAGAACGAACAGUGGAAUCAAACAUCGAUAAAAUCGCUGGAUGAGUAAUAUGUUAUCGUGAGCACAGACAACACAGGAUAUCAGUAUUCACCUUAGGUUAUACAGGCCAACACGUCGCGCAGUUAGGCCACGUUCAAAAAAUCCACUUGACAAAGGAUCUACAAGAAAGUAAAAUGAUAUCAAGCCAGAGGCGAUUAAUGUUCUAUACGAUUGCAUCGUUACCCUUCUGCCGCCUAAAUGCACGGAAGUACUAGAUGUCAAGUUGGAAAAGUUCAAGAAAAACCGCCCACUCACCACCUAUGUUACCGAGCUUUGCAAAACAGCCCCUAAGCUUCUCAGCAAUGCGGUGUGAAAGGUACGCUUAGUAAAACGUAUAGUCCAACGCAUGUACGAACCUUUGAGCCACUACGCACGAUUCCGUUAUCCGAUUCUGUCUUCUUCCGCUCAUGGGGAGCCAUGAGUGAUUCGAGAUGUAUUACAGAAAUUGUCGUUACUCUCAAUAACAAUGAUGCUGUUGCGAUUACUGAUUUUAUUGUUUAUAAAAUUAGUUUCGUGCUUCUCCGAUUAUAUUUGGCUCGAUAAUGAGAUCACAGGAAGGCCUCACGGUAAAGCAAACUCUGAUAACGACAAUUCAUAUAACAUAGGAGAUCUCGAAGAAAAGCUGCUUAGUGAAUCGAAAUAUCAAAGUGUGCGAUUCAUAAUGCAGUCCAGAAGGUGAAGCAUAAUGUACCCCUGUCAUCAAUAAAAAUAGAAAAUUAAAAAAAAAACAGCAAAGAGAAAAUAUUCUGUUUUCAGAUGAAUCGCAUUUUAAUAUUUUCAGUAGUAACAUGCCCAUAGAUGUUCCCGCAAAAGAUUUAAAAGGUUGUGGUGUGAACCGUAAUUUCGAACCACGAUGCAGGAGCUCUAUAUUUGAAGUAAACAGAACUAUGGAAAAACGACAAUUCUGUUAAGUAAUUCAAACGAAAAUGCUGUCGCGGGUAUGAAAACCGUUCUUGGACAAGAACUUGGACAAGUUACCAUGCCAUAUGGCGAAAUAUGUCUCUGAAGUGUUUAUAACUAAUGGCAGCAAGGUUCUACGACCUGAAAACUAACCUGAUCUAUAAUCAAUCAAAGACGUGUGGCAUUAUGCCAAAGGGCGAAUCAACACCGAACACGAGCAUUACUCUAUUCGAGGAUACAGUGCUCCAAUUAGAGGCUUACGGCCCGGGUGCGACAAGAGUAAUGUGAAAGUGCAUUCUGAACAAAUCAAAGCAGCAGUUGCUGAAAUCAGGUUGCAGUCAAGGGUAGGGGAAUCCAAUACUAGCGCUCACGACAUUUACGUGGCAGUUUAAAACGCUUUUCUAGCGAGAGUGUCUCAUAUGUGUUACCAUUAGGAAAAAGAACGACGCACUUCACAUAAAAACACUGCACGCAGAUAUUUAGUUCGGAUGCAGAGGUAUCUUCGAUCGAACUCGAUAACUUGUGAAACUUUUACUUGGUCUUAUUCAAUUUCCCAUUUAUAUAUAUAUAUUGGCUGCCUGCAGAGAAUAUAUUUAGUCUUCGACCAACGGGGCGCCGUCCCGACUAAGCCUAUGCAAGCAACCGAGGCCACAAUCCUGAUAAUUGCUCAACUAACCAAGGAUCAAAAGGUAGCCGUUAGAUCGACGAGCCCAUGAUCAUAGUUGGAGGCGGACCUCCGGAACAGUCUUUAGUGCCGGCAGAGGCGCCAGGUCGUGGUUAAAGUGGUCGCCGGCGCUAAAAGUCAUAGACGGUAAAAUGGGCUCGGUCGCAAAGCACUAGUGUCAAUGGAAAGAAGCUUGGCAAGAGAGGCCAAAAAUGUACCGUAAAGAGAAUAGAAGUGUGCCGUGCGGGAGCAAGCGGCCACAUAUUAUACGAAACCAUUAAAUACCGAUCCUUACGAAAACAAGGGCAAAAGGGUCGUUGUAGAACUGGGGACAGCUUUCUAGAAAAGACGCUGUGUAGCGCAUAUACGCAACCGAGAUACAUGAACGCUACUUGGACGCAGUAGGGCUAGUAGCAAUAAUUGAAUGUUACGAUUAGAAUGUAAGCAAAAAAUAGUUGCAGUGUGGAUGCACUUAGGGUGCAAAAAACAUUGCUGCUAGCUGAAGUCUGUCUCCGACCAGAGGCCUAGAGUUAUGCCGGAAGUAAAUAAUAUGGACUAACGCUUAACGUCGGACCUAUAAUAAUGUAUGUAGAUUUUACGCUAGCCGUGCCUGAACUAGAAGUUAUACAUACUGACUAUAAAAUUAGAGCAUUAAGGGCGGUAAGAAGAGCACCUUAUAUGUGUUAAAAAAGUGUAUUUUAUUGCCUUUAGUAGUCUUGGUCUAUAGUGGCAUUUGUUAUGUCUAGAGCAUUUUACGCUUGUUAUUUGCGUGGCGUAUACGAAAAAUCUAUAACUUACUCAACAGGUUAAUACUUUUACAGUAUCUGUAAAAUCUACAUUGGGUUGCAGUCUUGGCAUUUCCGCAGGGGACUUCCUGGUGGUCCAAAUUGCCAAACGCAUUUAAUUGACCCUAAACAUGAAUUACUACUGAACAUAUUUGUUGUCGAUAAUCACUUUUAACACAUCUCAACAUUAUAUGCGCUUUUCAGUUCCUAUUGAUUACGAAUUUAGUGCAGGUAAGUUAAAAAAUCACGACCAGCAAUUAUGAAAAAAGUCAAAACUGUGUUAUCUUUGCUCUUCAAAGAGAGUAGUAGGUACUUCAAAUUUGGUAUUUACCCUCACUUCUAUUUUUUAUUCAGAACUAAACACAAAAUGGGCAUUUUUUUUACAUUCUCGACGUGAAAACCUAUAUGUGUUACUGGCUGGCUAAAAAUUUGUAACCUGUUUUACAUUUCCUACUACCUAUUUGAAUUUUUCUAAGAUCUUUGAUUUUUCAACACUUUAAGGGUAAGCAAUAGUUUUUUAUUCGCCUAUUAUUAUUAUUAAUUCUUUUUCGUUUACUUAAAGAAAAAUGCAAUGUGAAAAAAAAGUAUUGCACUUUCUAUAUUGCAACCCAAUCAUUCAUAGAAAAAUUGGAUUAAACGAGAGAUAGGAGAUAAUAUCUAAUUUAAGACGCGUUUCUUUGUCUGGACGUCCAUAUUCUUACAGAAGGAGUUUCAAGCACAAACAAUGGUUGUGCUGGAAGUAUGCUGGAAUGCUACAGCAUAUUGGAUACCAUAUGAGCCUAAAACGAGGUAUCAAGAUAUCCAGUUGUUCCACUGACGGAACCGAAACAGACAGUACCUUACCUUGCUUGAUGUCUUAUAAUUUCGUAUGAUAACGAUGCCUCUUAGAUCAAGUAAUAUAGAACUGCGCAGAAUUGUGAAAGUAACCAUCAGUCUACCAAUUUUCCAAAACGAGAAACCACGGGUUUAUUCAGAGAGACUGAGAUGAAGGUCGCACCUCACUACUAUUAAGAAAUUGUAAGCGUGAAAAAUGGAACAUUUCAUCACGGUUUCUCUGAACAAGCGGCGUACUAUUAUUAUACCAGUAAAUGGCUAAAUCAGAUAUACCAAAACCGUAAAAACGUGAAAUAAUUUCCCAUUUUUAAAAUCUAAUCUCUAAAGAGAAAGGUCACUGUUACAACUCUGCUUUGACGCAAAUGAAGUCAAUUGAGCCUUUGUCUGGGCUCCAGUAUACAAGAUGAAUCGUAAGACGAAAAUAAAUUCAUAUAGUGCUGCUUUUGAGCUUUC